rnacentral:rRNA from 1 species
UACGUAGGGGGCAAGCGUUGUCCGGAUUUAUUGGGCGUAAAGAGCGUGUAGGCGGUCUGGUAGGUCCGUUGUGAAAACUCGAGGCUCAACCUCGAGACGCCGAUGGAAACCCUCAGACUAGAGUCCGGAAGAGGAGAGUGGAAUUCCUGGUGUAGCGGUGAAAUGCGCAGAUAUCGGGAAGAACACCCGUGGCGAAGGCGGCUCUCUGGGACGGUACUGACGCUGAGACGCGAAAGCGUGGGGAGCGAACAGG